GGAUUACAGGGCUGGGGGCGUGUGUUUGCAGUGGGUCAGCUCUCUUGCAAGGAGAGAUUAUUUUCCUUCUCCUUUUGGGUCUGCAACUUUGGGGAGGGGUGAGUAUUACUUGCAAAGGAUUGCAAAGUUUGCAUGCAAAUACGGGUUCCUGGGAGGGAAUCUCUCAGCCGGCUGGCCUUUUGCAAAUGCGGGGUUAAAAACAAAAAGCUGCAGAACGAAAGGGAAACUGGAGGCAGCUGAUGCUCAAGUUGCAGCCCCAGAGGCUCAGUUGGAGCUGCUCUUCGAAUGCCAAGGAACGUUAAAGAUCAUAAAAUUACGCAAUAUAAAAUCAGAGAGAGAACACAAUCAGGAAAACAUUCUUGUUUUAAUGAGAGGGAAUAGAAAACAGGUCCUUGGGGGAAGUCUGUAGCAUCCACUUGAUAAUGUAUUCUAGGUUAUGGAAGCCUGCAGCACAAUAAGUCUGUGAAUCUUCAAGCUGCAACAAGACAUUUUUUGUGUCUGCCUGGGAGAAUCGCAUCCUGUCACUUCUUCCUUCCAGCAGUCGACUACCACUGAAGGGCACGAAAUGAGUGACGUUACAAACAUGCAAAAUUUAUUUAUUCUACAUGUAUUCAGAAUGCUGUGUUCCUGGGAAGAAAGGAAGGGAAAGCACAGCUGGAGCCUUUUUUAAAAUCUCAUUUUCAACAAAUCCGUAAACACUUGUCCUCUGCUUGGAUUUCAUUAUUUGAAUGGGGCUGAAGAAGAAUUGCAUCAUUCCAGAAAACCGUAUAAGGAAAUAUUGCGAGCACAAAGUACAACAGUGAUUCUUGAUAUAUCGGCCCCUGUACAGGAGAUGGGAAGGAUGUUUUGCAAAAGUGACUAUAAAAUGCGCACAACAGCGGCUUGAACCGCUUCUGCCACCGGCAUCUCCCUUCCUCUUUCAUACUACUACGACACCGCUUCUGACCUUCUACUGCAGGUGGCGCUAUCCAGCGGGAACGAGAGUCAAAGCGCGACGAGGUGGAUUGUCCCUACACACGACCCGUCGUCAGAGAGGCUUUCGCGCUGACGUGUGAGUUUAAGCAGGCGUCGUCUGAAUGCUGGCCUUUCACGAGCCACGGUCAUGGCUGCUACUUGGGAAGAGAUUCUAAAACUGUCGCAACAGUUCCAAUCCGCCCAGUUUGCCCAGGCGUCGCACAGAUUAUCAGAACGUAAUUGCAUAGAGAUCGUUGCUAAGUUGAUUGCUGAGAAACAGCUGGAUGUUGUGCAUACUCUCGAUGGGAAAGAGUAUAUUACUCCUGCGCAGAUUAGUAGAGAGAUACAUGAUGAGCUUCAUGUUCGUGGUGGUCGUGUAAACAUUGUUGAUUUGCAACAGGUAAUAAAUGUAGAUCUGCUCCAUGUUGAAAACCGAGCUAAUGACAUUGUCAAAUCAGAUCGAACCAUUCAACUAGUGUUGGGACAGCUUAUAGAUGAGCAUUACCUAGAUCAAGUGGCAGAAGAAACAAAUGACAAAUUACAGGAAACAGGCCAAGUGAAAAUAUCUGAUUUGUGUAAAACAUAUAACCUUCCAGGAGACUUCUUGAAGCAGGCAUUUUCUACUCGUCUGGGUAAAAUUAUCCAUGGGCAAAUAGAUCAGGAGAAUCGAGGGGUGAUUUUCACAGAGGCAUUUGUAACUCAGCAUCGUGCCCGCAUUCGUGGUCUCUUCAGCGCCAUCACAAGGCCUACAGCAAUUAUUAACCUGAUCACUCGGCAUGGCUUCCAGGAGCAUUUGCUUUACUCCGUCCUGGAGGAACUUGUUAAUUCUGGACGUCUGAAAGGCACAGUUGUGGGUGGAAGGCAAGACAAAGCUGUGUUCAUCCCUGACAUCUACGCCAGAACUCAGAGCAACUGGGUGGAUUCUUUUUUCAAGCAAAAUGGCUACUUGGAAUUUGAUGCAUUGUCUAGACUUGGCAUCCCGGACCCUGUGAACUACAUAAAGAAAAGACACAAGUCCUUGCCACUUCUGUUUUUGAAAGCAUCCUGUGUUGGUCAGGAAAUUGUGGAUCAAGUGGAAGCCUCAGUGGAUGAAGCCAUCACUUCUGGAACUUGGGUGGACAUUGUGCCUCUUCUUCCAAGUUCAUUAUCCGUAGAAGAUGCUAGCAUGCUGCUCCAGCAAGUGAUGCGAUCUUUCACUAAGCAGCCUUCAACUUUGGUAUUUGGCGACACUAUUGUGGUUAGCGAGAAGUUUAUCAGCAACUGUGCAGCUCUGUUUAAUGACCUGAUGCACCAGAAAGCUGAGAAGGAAAUGAAAAAUAAUAACCCGGUUCACUUAAUCACUGAAGAGGACCUGAAGCAGUCUUCCCUUAUAGAAAAUGCAUCCUCAAGUAAAAAAGACAAAAAAGAUGACAGAAGGAAGAAAGCAAAUGAGGGCAGCGGAAGUGUGAGAAGUGGUGGUGGUGGAAAUGCUAGAGAAAUCAAAAUUAAGAAAACCAAGAAGAAGGGGCGAAAGGAUGCUGAUAGUGAUGAGGAAUCUCAAGCAAGUAGCUCAAAUCGGAGCAAACACAUGGAGAUCCCUUUUAUGUCACAAGAAGAGAUUGAGGAUGUUUUAAGAAAACACAUAAGGGAUAGCCCUGAAGAGCUGAUAUUGGAAAUUGCUGACCAUCUAGUAAGGCCUUUAACAAAAAGCUAUCAGGAAGUUCUGCGUUCAGCGUUUAUGUCCUCGGCUUCUAAUUCAUCUGGAGCAAGCAGGAAAAAGACCAUCAAGGACUUGCAGGAGGAAGUUUCCAACUUGUACAGUAAUGUCCGGUUAUUUGAAAAAGGAGCAAAGCAUUUUACAGAUGAGACACAAACUAACAUUGCCAAACACAUGCUGAAGACUGUUUGUACAGACAUUACUAAUCUGAUCUUCAACUUCCUAGCUUCUGAUGUAAUGAUGGCAGCAGAAGACUACACUGCCAUUACCAGUGAGAUGAGAAAGAAGAUUUUAAGUACAUUGCAGGAAGAGAUGAGAGGCCCUCUAACGAAGCUCCAUGUUUCUCUAAACAGCAAGCCAUAAGGAUUGGCACUGAAAGAAUACAAAUCACUACAUUGCUGUACUUGGCUGAGUUAGGCCUGGGCUAGACAUGCGGCAGAGUGAUAGAAUGGACUGUACCCCUUCAGACUGCAGAGUUUAGAAGAAUUUGUUUCUGCUCUUGAUGCUGCCACUGAAGCUUGUGAUAUUAUGGUGAAAAAAGGGGACAAGAAGAAAGAAAG